UACGUAGGGUGCAGGCGUUAAUCGGAAUUACUGGGCGUAAAGCGUGCGUAGGCGGUUUGUUAAGACAGGUGUGAAAUCCCCGGGGCUUAACCUGGGAACUGCGCUUGUUACUGGCAGACGUGGAGUGUGGGCAGAGGGGGGGUGGAAUUCCAGGUGUAGCAGUGAAAUGCGUAGAGAUGUGGAGGAACACCGAUGGCGAAGGCAGCCCCCCUGGGAUAAGACUGACGCUCAUGUACGAAAGCGUGGGGAGCAAACAGG
rnacentral:rRNA from 1 species